rnacentral:misc_RNA from 1 species
GGAUGAAGAACGUAGCGAAAUGCGAUAAGUAGUGUGAAUUGCAGAAUUCAGUGAAUCAUCGAAUCUUUGAAUGCACAUUGCGCCCCUUGGUAUCCCGAGGGGCAUGCCUGUUCGAGCGUCAUUUCACCACUCAAGCCUGGCUUGGUGUUGGGCGACGUCCUCUUUGGGGACGCGCCUCGAAACGCUCGGCGGCGUGGCACCGGCUUUAAGCGUAGCAGAAUCUUUCGCUUUGGAAGUCGGGGCCCCGUCUGCCGGAAGACCUGCUCGCAAGGUUGACCUCGGAUCAGGCAGGGAUACCCGCUGAACUUAAGCAUAUCAAUAAGCGGAGGA